UAAGGAAUAUUGGGCAAUGGUCGGAAGACUGACCCAGCCACGCCGCGUGCCGGAAGAAGGCCCUCUGGGUUGUAAACGGCUUUUGUCAGAGAAGAAAAACUUGCUGAGGCGAGGCCUGACGGUAUCUGACGAAUAAGCAUCGGCUAACUACGUGCCAGCAGCCGCGGUAAUACGUAGGAUGCAAGCGUUGUCCGGAUUUAUUGGGUUUAAAGGGUGCGUAGGUGGCUAGAUAAGUCGUGGGUGAAAGUUGGCAGCUUAACUGUCAGAUUGCCUGCGAUACUGUUUAGCUUGAAUGCGAUUGAGGUAGCUGGAAUGGGUGGUGUAGCGGUGAAAUGCAUAGAUACCAUCCGGAACGCCGAUUGCGUAGGCAAGCUACUAAGUCGUGAUUGACACUGAGGCA
rnacentral:rRNA from 1 species